AACGUAGGUUCCGAGCGUUAUCCGGAUUUACUGGGCGUAAAGCGCGUUCAGGCGGUUUGGCAAGUCGGGCAUGAAAUCUCUCGGCUCAACCGGGAGAGGUUGUCCGAUACUGCUGGACUUGAGGGCAGUAGAGGGUGGUGGAAUUCCGGGUGUAGUGGUGAAAUGCGUAGAGAUCGGGAAGAACAUCGGUGGCGAAGGCGGCCUGCUGGGCUCUUGCUGACACUGAUGCGCGACAGCGUGGGGAGCAAACAGG
rnacentral:rRNA from 1 species